CAAGUCGAGGGGCAGCAGGACUGUAGCAAUACAGUUGCUGGCGACCGGCAAACGGGUGCGGAACACGUACGCAACUUACCCAAAACUGGGGAAUAGCCCGGGGAAACCCGGAUUAAUACCUCGUAACAUAAUGGAGUGGCAUCACUUUAUUAUUAUAGCUCCGGCGGUUUUGGAUGGGCGUGCGCCUGAUUAGGUAGUUGGCGGGGUAACGGCCCACCAAGCCUGCGAUCAGUAACUGGUGUGAGAGCACGACCAGUCACACGGGCACUGAGACACGGGCCCGACUCCUACGGGAGGCAGCAGUAAGGAAUAUUGGUCAAUGGACGCAAGUCUGAACCAGCCAUGCCGCGUGAAGGAUGAAGGUCCUCUGGAUUGUAAACUUCUUUUAUAUGGGACGAAACCCCUUUUUCUAGAGGGACUGACGGUACCAUAAGAAUAAGCACCGGCUAACUCCGUGCCAGCAGCCGCGGUAAUACGGAGGGUGCAAGCGUUAUCCGGAUUCACUGGGUUUAAAGGGUGCGUAGGAGGGCAGGUAAGUCAGUGGUGAAAUCUCCGAGCUUAACUUGGAAACUGCCGUUGAUACUAUCUGCCUUGAAUAUUGUGGAGGUGAGCGGAAUAUGUCAUGUAGCGGUGAAAUGCUUAGAUAUGACAUAGAACACCAAUUGCGAAGGCAGCUCGCUACACAUAUAUUGACUCUGAGGCACGAAAGCGUGGGGAUCAAACAGGAUUAGAUACCCUGGUAGUCCACGCCCUAAACGAUGGAUACUCGACAUACGCGAUACACUGUGUGUGUCUGAGCGAAA
rnacentral:rRNA from 1 species